UGGGCCCUGCUGCUGGGGAGAUGCUAAAAUAUAUGUGGGCAAGGCCAAGCCCAUGCUGGGUGCAGAAGGGAGCAUGGAGCAGUGAGGACAAAGGCUGAAAGAGGCUCCAGAAGGCAAGCUGAGAUGGCACAGCAGCACCUGUAGCUGGGCUGGGCUCUAUCUGGAAAAAAAAUAAAAAGAAAAAAAAAAAAAAGAGAGAAAAAAGGGCAGGGAUAGCUCAGGUGAUAAUUGUUAAUUAGCUCUUGUUUGCAGGGAGUUUGGGGGCUCAGUCAGAAGCAGGUGAAGAGUUUGGAGCUGGUUUUGCAGAGCAGGUGGAGAUUGCCAGCCUUUUUAAAAGUAGUAAUGUCUCAUCAGCCAAGGAACUGCAGAACUGGGUAGGAGGCACCAGAAAAACAUGGAAGCACCACAUUUUCCCCAGUCACUCAGUAGACAUCAUUUCCAACUGCUCAGUGCUGAAAGGUGCUAUCUUCAGAGUGAGCUGCUGACCUUCACAUCCAUUCAGGAGAGAUUACUGCCGGUUUUGAAUAACUAAAUAAAAGUAGUGAUUUCCACUCA